rnacentral:lncRNA from 1 species
UGCUGGCAUCAAGUAAGCCGACUACCUCGGCAAAGGCUUAGGGACAAGAGACCAGCAGCCUGAACUGGCUGGGGCAUCCGGAAGGCUUAGAUCUUGUGGCCAAGAGUUCAGACCGUGGCGAAGUGGAGAGUGACAUGCAGUUGGAUGGCGGUGACUGCGUGGUAUGGAAGAAAAUUCAGCUGAAAUUUGCUAGAAAAUGAGUUGUUUUGGAAAGAGACUGUAGAGAAAGGCAAAUGGAAGAAGAAAGCUUCUGUGCCCCCACAGAUACCGACUGAAAAGUGUUAGCAUGAGCAAAAGUUCCUAUCUAAUAUUAUAUGCUUUCCUUUGCUCCCAGCAUUCCACAAUCACGGGCUACUUCAAUUCUGCCUGCUGAGCUGAUUUAAUAAUCUGGAAGAGGAUUAUUCUCCCCCAUCUGGAAGAGGAUUAUUCUCUAUAAUCCCAGUUAGAGACACAAUGACAUAAACAUCGCUGUCCUGCAACCCUGGUUCCAGUCUGGCAAGCAUUGUAGACCUGGCUGCUGAAGACUGACGGGGCCCAGGGUCCGCUGCCCCCACCGCCAUCACCACCUCGGAACCCAGGGUAACGCUGUCAGUCUUUGAGCCUACGAGGAAACCAUUCGGAAGCUCCAGAACCCAGGCCCUAAUCACAACGCCCCUAUCCAGCAGGAAGCAGCCAGAUGAUCAACGACGCCCUUUUUCCUUUUUAUACUAAAGUAAGAAAUAAGAAUGUUAGCCCAAACUGCACUAUUUUGCAGACCCCUACCAUUUUACAAACUGGUCAGAGUGGAAAAUUCCACCAGGGCCUGAGCUGUGAGAAACAUCCUGUCAGGCAGGUCCCAGGCCUAACCCCUGGCUGCACUAAAUUCCUUCAUUAUCAGCAGCCAAACACACCGCCCCCACCCCAUUUUCACAACAAUCCCAGACCUCUCCUGCCCGGGACUGUAACUGGUCCAGCCUGUAAGCGGGAAGGGGGCUCUGGCACUAGCUGGUACCCCCUCUCCGCAGGUCUUUCUCCCAAUAAAUCUGUGUUGCCAUU